CAAAAGGACGUGGCAGAAUUACUGCAGGAUCCUAUCCCUGGGGAAAGAGGUGAAGAGGCCGUAUGACUGAACUGCAUCUCCCCACCACACAACACUGUCUGUCUGGAGCCGACCACAGGAGCUCAGAGCAGCCUUGCAGAUGGGUUAGGGGGCCCUGGUGAUCUCUUCUGGCCUCCUGUAAAGUCUACUAUAAGCCAAGAAGCAUCUUCUCCUCCCUUCCCCCUUCUUUCCCCACACCCCCAUAAACAAUCCCUCCUUUCCCCCAUCCCUGCUCACAUGAAGUUUGUCACCAUGGAAGCCUCAUUUAGUUUGCAUCUCACUGAACUUGGGCUUCAUUGCUGCAGCAUGUUGUAGUGAAGUGCAAGGUGGUAACACAACAAGAGAGUGAAAGCCUGGAUGAAGCUUUCGGAGGACACUUGCUAACUUCAUUGCACAGGAGGCCUGUGGAAAUCCUGCAGCUGAGAGAUCUGCAGCUGGACCCAUCAUACUUCACCGUCGGGGCUAUUGAAUUUAAUUAAAGAAAAAUGACCCAGAGACUCUUAGGAAAACUUGAUUCUCUGGAACAAUAUUCACGCAAAAGACUGGCCAAACAUGCAAAGGUUGAAGUAAGUAUGGAGCAAAUGGAAAUCAUAUCAAGGAUAGACGCACCCGUUGUCAGCUUUGAAAGAACUGUUUCUUGAGUUAUGCCAGCACCCACACACUAUCGUGACUUGCACCAUAUAAUAAUAUCUAAGGUAGAUGGAUGAGAUAGAUGGGAGAGGGAGAGACUGAUUUAUGUCUGACUGAUGAUUAUUCCAGGCAACAAAGGAAUACUGAUAAAGC